AUAACAUUCCUUUUUCGUUCCGUAAACCUUCGCAUUCGUUGUAGUUCUGUCGUGUGUAAUCACGACGAAUGUAGUUGUAAACUUAGAACAUAUUUUUUUAUAAGUGCUCUCGUUCCACUUUUCGUUAAUACUUAUUAUUUUCUCAUAUCUAUUCAUCUUUGUGCUGUGCUACAUAAUCGACUGUAUAACGUAGUGAAACAAAGGCUGUGUUGGAAUUAUGGUUUUGUGUUAUGAUGUCAUUAAUUAAUCCUUGAAAAAAUAUGAGUGUAAGUGUCGAAGACGUUUCGAGUCCUUUAUCUGAAGGGCAGAGCAGUGCUCUGGAUGAUGAAACGAAAUCCGAAGCUGAGAAUAAAAGCGAGGAUGUUGAGGCAGGUCAAAAAUCGGAGCCCACUACCCCGAAGCCACAUCCUAUGGCCUUCACGAUUGACUUUGGACAGGCGAAACAAUUCGAUAAUCGCAGACUGGAGGAGCUAGCUAAGAAGUCACAGGCUAGACAUCAAAGAGUUCAAUCCAUGUCCGCAGGUCAAUCGAGACAGAGUCCUAUAUCUCAUAGACCACCUAUGAGCGGCAAAUUACCCAGAAAAGCUCAGGGUUACAAUUCAGAAGGCUACUUCUCGUCAGAUCAGGAAGACAGUGGUGUCUCGAGUUCCGUUAAACUCCGAAGUAGCCCAUUAGUUGGUGCUGAUAGACCGAAUAUAACAAGCCCUAUAACAAACAGACUAAUUCGAUCGCCAGUAAACGAAAGCAAACUUAUGUCCAAAAGUCCUAUAGUUGAUAGCAUAAUGUCCAGAAGUGAUAACUACACGCACACUCUUAAUCUACCCUUGAAAAACGCUAAUAGUUCCUACUUGAGAGACGUCCAUAGAUCGCCAAGUUACGGUAAUAUCAAUUGCAAUAAACUGCCCAUGGAUAUCAUUGACGCCAGCCCCGAGGGCGCAAUGUUGACUGACAUCUCUAGUCCCGAAUUAGACAUUCUCACCCCCGAUAAUGGGUUGUCAACCCCUGAACAUUCAAAGAGUCCGCUACGAAAGAGCAGGGCUUCGUCAGCGACCCCAGAUUUAUUGUUCAGGAAGUGCCCCCAAAAAUCCGAACCGCUGUAUAUUGAUGAUGAAGUCGAUGGAGAGUCAAACCAUUCAUCAACAGGUACAUACACAAUUGAGUGUGAUAAUUAUACCGAAGAACAGAAAGCUAGAAUGAGUAUCGACAGAACUUUUGGUGUGGAACAGCCAAAAACUGUGCCAGAUACAUUGAAAUGUACUUCAGUGGACCGGGAUCCUGAAAUAAUAUUUGACUUCCCAAAUCCUAGAGUCAUAACAAAAGAGCCGAGACGAGAUGUCUGUCUCCGUAAUCCGGUGACAAGCAAAGCUGAUAAUGUACAAAAUAAAUUAUCAAAUGAUCGGAAUGUUCUGGAAAUAUCAUGCUGCUAUGAAUCUCCCAAUGAUGAUCUGGCUCUCCAAACAUCAAAACAAAUCAAAUCUACAAGAAGCUAUUUGGAGAAGAUAAAGAAUAGAGUUAGAACAAUAACGGAGAAGACAUUCUCCAAGUCACCACCAAAGUUCGAAGAAGAUGCUGAUCUCGGUACAUUCACAUCCGUCACAACUUCUGGGGUACUCAGCUCGAAGUAUCCAAUCAAAGUGGAAAUGCCAAGUAGGAGGCGCUGUAGUCUGACAAAAUCGGAAAUUGAUCGGACAGAUUACAUCCACAGGUUGUCGAGGGAAUCCUCGGUGCCUGUGAAUUUACCAAGCAACAAGAACAUUCUAGAAGACACCAAAUUCGAGAGCACAGCACUCAAAAACGCCCAGAAAGCCCUGAAAGAUGAAGUCAAUCUAACAUCAGAUCCGUUGGUCGGCAAACUGUCCUAUCUAAGCUUGAACAGGUGCAAGGGUGACAAGACCUGGAUUCAGGAUUGGGCGGACAGCGUCAAGAAAUACAACAAUAAUGUGCUGACAGAUGAAGCAGAUCUCAAUGCCACCUUCUCCAUAGAUGACCGUCCUCCGAUCAGCCCAAGAUUGAUACCAACAAAACCCCGAAGUCCGCAUGGAACACCAACAAAGAUCCCGAGCCCCGUAGGGACUCUUCUACACCGUAGAACUCCGGAUCUCAUCCCGCCUCAAGACACGGAAUCCUAUUUGGUGAAGACGCAAAAUGCUAUCACGAAUUUACAAGCGAAGCUGCACUCCACCAAGAAUACUUACAUUCCGAAUCCGCUUACAACAAGUCUUGUCAGCGAGAAGACACUGGUGUCACGACUUCCAUUAUCCCAGCUAAGCAGAUCCAACUCGCUAAACUAUCGUCUCAGACGGAAAGAAACUUCGGGCGGAAGUAGUCCUUUAAGGAGUCCCGGACAUUACGUCAUCACGGGCUCCGCUAAAGUUCCGGAAACAAAAAAAAUUCUCAUCAACAGCGCCACCAGAUCACUAGAACAAGACACAAGGCACGACUCCAAUAUGAACAGCCCGUGCUCCGAAAGAGGUCUUCUAAGUAAUAGUUCCGAUGACAAAACUCUGUCACACACACCGUACGAUGUGCACACAACACCGAUUAGAAAGACACACACACGUCAUAGAUCCUUCGACGGGAAGAACCCUAUAGAAUACUUCCCGAGCGACAUCAACAACGCCAACCAGAACGUAACCCUCAAACACGUCCUCAAGAACAAUGUCAUAGAGAGCAAAACUCAUAGAAUCGAUCCAACGCGUUGCCAAGAUACCAAGAAGACUCAUGUCAGAGUUCUGAGUGAUGGCAAGAAACCGUACACUUCAUCGAUCAAACGUUCGAGCUCGUUCAGCACCGUCAACAGGAACAACAAUCUGGACCCGCGGCUCACAUCCAGGAGGUCUAGCGGACAGUCCGAAGAAUAUAAGGACUAUUCAGACGAAUCUGACAAUGGAUCCUUCGCUAAGACACAAGACGUCAGGCUCAAAAGACCUCUGCAUCGAGAUAGAUUGGAUUAUGACAUUAAGUCCAUAGUCCCAUCGAAUUCGCCGAGAUGUCCGAAUACUCCAGAGAUGCAGAGGAAAUUUGGACCGGGUCUGGUGAGGGCGUCCGGGCGGCACAAGGACCAGAACUCACGAAUGUCCGAACCACCACCGUCUAGAGAAGAGAAGAAACCGGUAAAUCAUCAGAGUCGAAGAAUCACAGAGCCCAACAGACAGACCGUUCUAAACAGAUUGACUAAAUCCAGAUCUUCCACGAGGGAGGUCCAUCCAAAACCUCAGGAGAAAGCCCAAAAGAAGCCAAGUCAGCACCGUUCAACAUCCGGUUUAGCGUCAAAGGAGGUGGAAUUCUCCAAUUGGAAGAAGCGUUCUUCCUACGACCCAAUGAAAGCUGCGCAGGAGGGUAGGAAGAAACAGCAAAUGGUCAGGAAACAGGAGUACAACAAAGAUGACCUGAGCUCACCCAGUCACUCGUCGCCGGUUCAUCGCUCUCAGUCCUUCCACAGUCACAUGUUGGAUUACUCGUCGGAGGAGGAGACUCCGGUGGAGAUGAUCACCUCCACGCACUCCGACAUACUCGGCCUGGAUCUGAGGAGGGAACUGGUCGUCAGUUACCAGGUGAAUCCUCCGCAAGAGAAGAUUAAACGCCGGGAGCAGAAGACGAAAAAAGAAAUCCCAGAUCUAGCGGACAAGAGGAAGACCUUCAUCGUCGACUCUGAUACAAACUCCACAACCAACGGCAGCAGUCCGAGGACCUCGGUGUUCAGUCACAAGAGUGACACGGAAGAUAGUGGCCCCGAGAGCGCGCCCGUCAUGAGGCACGGGAAGAAGAUACAGCAGAAGCAGAGGUACAGCGGUGAUUUUUCAAUGUCCUCAUCAACAACCUCUGUCAGCAAGAAGCCCAAGGAAUCGAUACAGCCGAGAUAUCUCGAUAUAUCCAAGUACAAGUCGGAGAACUCGCCCAAGAACUUCCUGAGGAGGGAUCCGAGCAAGACUUACAUCGGUGUGCUGAAUAACUCGGACAAGAAAGAGAUUAGCAAAGGAAGCGCCCAACACUACGAGAUGGAACAAAAGAAACAGGAACUUGAGAAGUGGAAGCGAAGAGCGUCGUACGACCCCAGGAAGGCGGCGGCAGCGGACAGGGGCAGCAGGAACACCAGAGCGUGACAAAUCACAAAAUGCAUGAAAUUCUGGAUAAAGUGUCACGGGCAGCCAUCUUUGUUAAGCAACGUGCUACGUUCCCAGUCGUUCCACGGGCCGGUGCUGUCGCCGUCCGUGCGCUAUCAGCCGCAGCCCAUCAACGAAACAUACGACGCCUCCAGCGACAACGACUUCUGAACGCUUGACACGUGUCGACAUUACCGCCAAAACAUUCUGUGCAAAUCAGCUUUAAUUGUCAAUGUCAGUUUGACACGCUGCUCCGAUUCGGCGCCGAGACGUCACAUCUGACAUUUUGUUUUAGAAUUGUCUAUGGAUUUUUUUUUUAAUGAGAUUGCAUUCGGAAUUGUCUAUGGAUUUUAUUAUGUCGGAUGUAAUAAAUGAAAUAUAAGAAGCUUUAACCGUGUCUCAGAGACUUCGGGGUACACGCAAGGAGUUAAACUACAGAACGAAGAGGUUUUAAGCCUGGUUUAAAAUCAUAUAAAUAUGAAAAUUUCAAAAUGUCAACGACAUUCAGCGUGUAAACAACAAAUAUUUUUUAUUAUAUAAUAAAUAAUUUUAUUUGCACUGUAGAUUAUAAUUUAAAGUGAUUCGAUCUUAGCGGACUGUUAUAUAAGUCUUGAUUUGUUAGUCGAAUGAAGUUAGAAAAUUCAAGCCAAACUAUUAUAAUGUGCCGCGGUUUGGGGAAGACAAUCGCACAAUUCUCCCGAAUGUUAUCUGAUGAAGUACACUGAAUGUCGGACGGACGUACAGACGGACAGACAGACGGACAGACGGACAGACAGACAGACAGACAGACAGACGGGUUAGAUAGGAAGAGGCAGGAUGAAUCGUCGCGUGGUCUUUGUAACAGACUGAAGAUAAUUUUUUUUAUAUAUAAAUAUAUAUUAAGUUAGUAUUUCUUUGCUCAUUUCAUUCGUACAUCGAUUAAUUUUAUGUUCUUAUUUUAGAGAACGUUUCAGUGCAAUUAAUUUUAAACAUCACAAAGAUUGCAGUUUUUUUAUUUUUUAUUAUUAUUCUAAGUUUAUUUUAUCUCAUGAGAUUUUUUAAGUAUUUCCUGAACGUGCAUUGAAGUGGUUGUUAGCGCAUCCAGCUGAUUGGCUGAUGUCCGGAGCUGGUUCAGGAUGCCGUUGAUAAUGUUUUACUUCAUGCCCUCGGGUGUUGUCAUCGAGUAUGUCCAAGUCAUAUAAAUCUGUAUAAUAAGACAUGCCUAAACGCUGAUGCUGUCCACUAAAAUAGUAUUUUAUAAUUAAUAUGUAAUAAUCAUUUUUUUAUCAUUUUAUGUUGAAUGUUUCAUUUUGUUUUACAGCAAUUAUUUUUUUUUUGUGUAAAAUACUCAUUUAUCCUUAAAAAUUCGUUUCCGUUGAUAUUUGAUGGGGUUUCCGAUUUAUUGAUAAAUAAUUAAAUAUUUUAUUUUCAUGAAUUUUUGCUGAAAUAAUCGAUAUAUUUUUUUUUUUUUAUAAAUUAUUUAAAAAUUAUAUUGUUUGCUUAUAUUUUUAUAUAGACACGAUAUCGAAAUGUACAAAGCGAAGAUCAAAAUACGGCUGACCGAGUCGUCCCGAACAUGAUCUCAAGCAAGAUUGGUAUCUUUAAUCAGCCGCCUCCUUUGUAACACAUUAGUAUUAAGCCUCGCUUAGGUUUUGUAAGUGAAGCUGAGGUAAUACAUCGGUAUUACUUAUUGAUGUUUAGCGUCUCAUGGAAAUAUUGUUAUAUCAGUAAAAUAAACAUUAUUACAAAAUACAA